rnacentral:lncRNA from 1 species
UUUUUGGAUUUUUUACGAAGGACUAAACCUAAGUUUUUUAUUAGUGGGCCUGACAAGAUUUAUAAAUCCUGCUCCUACGUCUCUCAACAGAGAAAUCAAGGCUUACGUAGUUCUGGAUAGAAAAUGUUUGUUUGUUGGUCGAUUUUAGCGAAAGCUACAUUGUAUUAAUCGAAGAAAACAUUGUUUUACCCAAAACAGAUGAGGAGCGGAC